ACAACGGGGCCCACAGAGAUGGCUCCCAUCUCAAUGGUAUCUAGUUAUUCUGUGAUUUUCUCUUCAGGAUGACUCUUAUACUACUUUUUCUUAAAAAAGGACACUUAUUACAUAGCCUUUUAUUGUCCAAAUCUGAUCAUUCGACAUUUUAAGGUGAUAUUUUUAUAAAAUCUUUUCAAAACAAGAUUUUUGCCAAAUUGAGGUAGAUUUUCAGUAGAUGUAGUUUAGAAAAUCAAAAAUAAUUUUGUUCAUGAAAGUAAACAAUUACAUACAAUGAAUUCAUAUAUUGAUGACAAAAUGGUGCCAGUUGUAAAAAAUCAUUGAAUACAGAUGUCAUUCCCAUCAACAUCUAAAUUUCUGCAUUUAUUUUGUACCUUAUCAGAUAUUACAGACUUCUUUUAUAAGUUUGAAAAAUGUUAGUAUGUUAUAUAGUUUAAAUUAAAAAAAAUCAUGAAUUUAAUCACAUGUAAAUACAUAAACAAAAGG
rnacentral:lncRNA from 1 species